UACGAAGGGGGCUAGCGUUGCUCGGAAUUACUGGGCGUAAAGCGCACGUAGGCGGCUUGUUAAGUCGGUGGUGAAAUCCUGGAGCUCAACUCCAGAACUGCCUUCGAUACUGGGAAGCUCGAGUCCGGGAGAGGUGAGUGGAACUGCGAGUGUAGAGGUGAAAUUCGUAGGUAUUCGCAAGAACACCAGUGGCGAAGGCGGCUCACUGGCCCGGUACUGACGCUGAGGUGCGAAAGCGUGGGGAGCAAACAGG
rnacentral:rRNA from 1 species